UACGUAGGGGGCAAGCGUUGUCCGGAAUCAUUGGGCGUAAAGAGCGUGUAGGCGGCUUGUCGCGUCGGCUGUGAAAACCUGGGGCUCAACCCCGGGCCUGCAGCCGAUACGGGCAGCUAGAAUUCGGUAGGGGAGACUGGAAUUCCUGGUGUAGCGGUGAAAUGCGCAGAUAUCAGGAGGAACACCGGUGGCGAAGGCGGGUCUCUGGGCCGAAAUUGACGCUGAGGAGCGAAAGCGUGGGGAGCAAACAGG
rnacentral:rRNA from 1 species